rnacentral:rRNA from 1 species
GACAGAGGUCCCGAGCGUUAGGCGGAAUCACUGGGCUUAAAGCGUGUGUAGGCGGAUUGGUAAGUACCUUGUGAAAUCCCACGGCUUAACCGUGGAACUGCUUGGUAUACUGCUUAUCUUGGGCCACUUAGGGGUUACCGGAACAAACGGUGGAGCGGUGAAAUGCGUAGAUAUCGUUUGGAACGCCAAUGGUGAAAACAGGUAACUGGGAGUGUGCCGACGCUGAGACACGAAAGCCAGGGGAGCGAACGGGG